rnacentral:rRNA from 1 species
UACGUAGGGUGCGAGCGUUAAUCGGAAUUACUGGGCGUAAAGCGUGCGCAGGCGGUUUGUAAGCCAGAUGUGAAAUCCCCGGCUUAACCUGGGAAUGGCAUUUGGGACUGCAAGGCUUGAGUGCGGCAGAGGAGACUGGAAUUCCUGGUGUAGCAGUGAAAUGCGUAGAUAUCAGGAGGAACACCGAUGGCGAAGGCAGGUCUCUGGGCUGACACUGACGCUCAUGCACGAAAGGCGUGGGAGCAAA